GAGCCUUCUUCGACGUUAAAGGGAUAGUGAAUAAUCCUUCUGGGGAGGAAUGGAAUGUUUGAUCGACAAUUUCAUCCUCAGUUAAGUAUUCUUCAGGGAUGAGGCCUAUAAUUUGGUUUUGGAAACCAAAUGUAUAGUACUCAGCAUCCAAUGCUAGACCUAACAAUGUUCCUUUUGGUAAAGUAACACUAUUGAGUAUAACAUUGUUGACC